ACGAGUUCGAACGAGGUUGUCGCUGGCCUUCCGGGGCAUGUGCACACCUCUUUCUCGUCCAUCUCACACCUGUGCACCUUUGGUAGUUCUAGAGAAGGGAAGUCGUCGCAAGGCGACGUCCCGACUUUGGUCCUACGUUUUCACACACUCUAUAAAGUUCAGAAUGUAUACCGCGUCUAACGCAUCUAAUA
rnacentral:misc_RNA from 1 species